rnacentral:tRNA from 1 species
GAGGGUAUAGCCGAGUGGCAGAGCGCAUGCUCAGCAUGCAUGAGGUCCUGGGUUCAAUCCCCAGCACCUCUG